UACAGGGGUCUCGAGCGUUAAUCGGAAUCACUGGGCUUAAAGGGUGCGUAGGCGGAUCCAUAAGCGCUUUGUGAAAUCCCCCGGCUCAACCGGGGAACUGCAGGGCGAACUGUGGAUCUUGAGGAAACUAGAGGCCGGUAGAACGAUUGGUGGAGCGGUGGAAUGCGUAGAUAUCAAUCGGAAUGCCAAAAGUGAAGACAGCCGGCUGGGGUUUUCCUGACGCUGAGGCACGAAAGCGUGGGGAGCAAACCGG
rnacentral:rRNA from 1 species